AUGAUGCUAUGCAGAGUGCAUUUGACAGCCAGGCACCUCACAAACUCUUCCAUUUUUCACUUGUGCCCCACCCCACCUGCAGUGCUCGUGCUCUUUUCUUUUUCCAGGAAUUGGAAUCCACUCAGGCUUUAUGAAGCUAAACAUUUGACUAACAGACGGACAACAAACAAACACACAGUCCUAGCAGCCACACCUGGUGCAGUUAGAUCAGGGAAAAAAAGGCAGCAAAGGCUCAAGCAACAGCAGCAGCUCUGCUACGCUGAGUGGGAUUUAUCAGCAGCCCCACCCGAGCCCUCGUGGAUCAAUGUCAGCUGGAGAGCGUUGGUCACAGUCCAUGAAGUGCAUGAAAGACUGUGAUGCUUGGAGCCUACAUCAUGAUUUUUAAACAUAUUGGUGCUCACCACUGGCAUUUAUAAAGUGACUUUACACACUCACGAUUUUCCUGCCCCACUCCUAUUUCCUUCCCAACACUUCUGGAACAAACGUGUUUCUCUAUUCCUAACACCCCUGAAAUGUCUGCUUCAGAAAUGUGGUAUGUGGAAUCUGUUGACUGUUUCACAGAUGUGGAACAGGACCUCCAAUCAGCCAUCAGAUCUGACCAGAUAAAAUUCCUAACAUCUGCUGCUCCAAGUCAGACACCUCUUUCUGUUAUUCCAGCUGUUGCUGGGUGUAUGUAUUGAACAGCAGCAAUUAGAUAAACCUCUUCCUAACAUUACUGCAGCUUGGUUUUUGUUUUGUUUUGGGUUUUUUUUGGCAACUGGAGAAAUGUUUUUCAAGGAGAGAUAUUUUUCAAGCCUUAAAGAUUUAUUUGUAGCUGUGGUGUCAAUACACCCUCUAAUGGGCUUUUAGAUUUUAGGCCAAAAUACCAGAAGCCAGUGUCUGCCAAUAAGAAUAACAGAUUGCACAGCACCACUCCUCUCCUAAAUUCUAAGUGUGCUAGAAAUGAGUGGUGAAUUCCCUCUUCUACGCUCAGGAAGAAUGAAUUAUGGAAGGGCCAAGACUGUAAACAGGCUGCAGUAAAUUAAGAUGGAGAAACCCAAACCUUUUGCCCUGGAAUCUGCUAGGUAAUGCUGUUUAUUCUUGGCUACUUUUAGCUGAUGUGUUUUCUCUUCAGCUACAUCCAAUUCCUACUGUUGUUUGCUGCUGCAACACGUACACAGGGCUCAUUCCAGUCACCCUGAGGCACUUUAAUUCAAAGAACUGUGUAUUGGUGUGGCUUUAAAGCAAGGCUAGCAGCAGGAGCACACCUCCCACUGAUGUCUCCCAGCUCUAACCCAGUGUCACACCUCUGCCCAGUGCUUUUUGGGGCUGCAGAGAUCUGCAGAGAGCACCUCAUGGAGGUUUUGCUGGCUGGAACCUGUGGCCAUAAAACUGUGCCUCUGAUUUACAAGAACAUGAAGAUUUUUAAUCAGGUCAUUUUUUUCUUGUUAGUGUCUCUGUCGAGAGAAUGAGGCGUCAUAUUUUAAUGGCCAAUAUAUUCUGCUAAUUGCAGCAUUUCAUUAUUUUUCCUUGACCUUGUCAACAGCCAGCAUUCUGGUAGUAUAUAUACAUUAAAUGCAUUAAAGUCCCUCUUUCUAACGAUCCAAGCUGUCAAGCAGAGGUUGAAUAGUCAGGCAAUGACCCUGCAGAAUAAUGAAAAGAUCAAAGCAGUGCCAUGAACUUCCCCAGUUUGCAGAGUAUAUGAGGCAUUCACUUGCUGAUAUUUCAUUCCUGUGACAACAGCUGGAGGAAAGCACCAGCCUCUUCUCUGCACGGAGACCUGCACAAAUGGCAGAGGGGUCAGCGCCAGCGCUUGUCACUGCUGUUGUGGCAAACAAAAGCAGCCAGCAAUAAAUGGCACAGAAGCAUAAGGUCGAAGGAUAUG
rnacentral:lncRNA from 1 species